rnacentral:rRNA from 1 species
GACGAACCGUGCGAACGUUGUUCGGAAUCACUGGGCAUAAAGGGCGCGUAGGCGGGCCCGAACGUCAGGGGUGAAAUCCCACGGCUCAACCGUGGAAGCGCCUUUGAUACUGCGGGCCUGGAGGGAGGCAGGGGAGUGCGGAACUUCCGGUGGAGCGGUGAAAUGCGUAGAUAUCGGAAGGAACACCGGUGGCGAAAGCGGCGCUCUGGACCUCUACUGACGCUGAGGCGCGAAAGCCAGGGGAGCAAACGGG